AAACAUCGUGUACUUUUUAUCGAUUCUGUUUCAGAUGCUCUCUCGCAAUGUGUCGUCACAGUUUCAUGUGAAAUCAAUGAAAAAGAAAAACGCAAAAGCUGUUUCAGAUUCUCUAAUGGUCCCGUGAGGUGGUGGUGGGCUCUCUAAAUUGCCUGUGGCAACAAUCGCAAUUUCUUAGCUCUAAGUUCUGGAAUUUCAGUCAUAGUCGUCGAGAGUUUUUGGUUAAAAUUUUCAAACUUGAUCGAAUUUUGGGGGAAGAGUCUGAUUAAAAAGCUCUAGUCUUUCCGCAAUUUAGCCACUGUUUACUCCAUCGUGUAGGGGUUUGAUUAGAUAAGAAGCCUUUUGGAACGAUGCUAAGGGGAUAUCAAAACAGUAGCUGUUUAUAUCCCUGGGUGAUUUUGCUUUCAGUGUUCUCAAUAGUAACAGAGUUCAGGAAAAGACGAGAAUUUCUAUGGCGCCAAGGGACGGGUCAAUGAGCAAAUGGUUUUAGACAUAAAAGAAGCUGAAAGGGAAGAUGAUUCUCUAUUGUGUCCUUCAAGAGAUGCCAGUCCUAAGGGAAAGCUAUUACUUUACUUCUCCAACGCCAAACAGAGGAAUUUAUGGAUGUGGAAACUUUUGAAGCCACAAUGGAAUAUAGAGAGUUUCAUAACCACUCUUGAAGCGCCUGCACACUCACUUGUAACCUAUGGUGAUCGUUGAAGACACAUGAAGCUUCCUCAAACAAGAGAACUACAAUCGCAACACAGGUCUUGGCUGAUAUGUGUCUUCUCUUUGCUUGUGUCACGGACGAGCAGUCAUGGAGCGUGGAAGACUGUCUUCUGUCUGCUUGUGUCACGGACGAGCUGUCAUGGAGCGUGGAAGACUGUCUUCUGUCUGCUUGUGUCACGGAUUAGAGUCUCUUGUCUCUUUUUUUUCUUGGUCACAACGUCUUCAAUGUAUUAUUUUGUCACGAGAUCUUCAAUGAUGUAUAUAAUUGUUGUAUCACAAAAUCACAUUUCUACAACACCAUCUCUUCUCUC